UGUUCUUCUGGCGCGAAAUCCGCGAAAUAUUGGAAACACUCUGCUAAAAGCGAACACGUGCGUUUUGUUACAAGAACUUGAAACUCCGAGCCCAAAGGGCAUCGUAUUGAUUCGAGGCUAAAGAAGGCCUUGAAAUAUGACAGCAUUUUUGUUGUAUGAUCCAGUGCGCCAUUCGACGCUCAACCGAAGUUAAUCAGAACUCAAACUCAAUCCUUAACAAUAUCAGUGAGGCCAGCGUGUCAUCUCAGCUUGUUGAGCUUCAGCAAACAUGAGCCAACAAGACAAACAUUAUUGUACAAUCCCGACCCCCUUUUGCAAAAAUAUUACAACUCUCUCAAGAAAUUCAGCACGAAAUCCUCUUGUGUCAGCCUUACAUGCUUCCUAUCAAGAUAUUUUCCCAUGUUUGCUUCAUCAACACUUCCAACAGCGGAUCCUUGGUAAUUUAGACUUCCGUUCCAGCGUGGAUGGGGCUUAGCAAUAAUUGAUGCUGGGCAACGGCAAAUUGUUCGGGACGAGUCGCUCAAACGGAAACGAUCUGACCCAACAGAUAGCUUAUAGUGAUGUGUCCAUUAAUGUGACUGACCUCGAUAUGUUGCUUUUAAAUAAUGCGAACCUUACACCAGAAGAACAGUCUGCGAGCAAUUAAGGCCAUUUAACAACCGUUGUUGUCUGGAAUUCACGGCUUUGGGUUGACGAAUUUGGCGUCAGGACUUGCUCUAUCUCUGUCUACGGCAGCAGCAGCAGAAACAACAAAAAAACAGAUUGGUAACCAGCUGUACAACAGGCUCUCUUGCCAGCUGGGCCCAGACACCCAGGGACACUUCCUUCGCAUGGGUGGUGGUGGGUGGCUCUCGGCGAAGGACUUUUGGGCAGUUCAACGUGUCCUACUCGCAGAGUGCAGCCAAUCUAAACAUGGGGCUCCACAUUUUCCUGGUCAAGAUUACCUUAUCCAAAUAGUAGAUUGAAGCCUUAUCCUCAAAAGUUCAGGUCCAAAGAAAGAUGGUGACCAGCUGCAACUCAGCCACUUCAUCUCAAUAGGUAAGUUCUUGUGCCAUUGCAAAAGGGGCCACUAUGGCAAAGCAUUCAGGAGACCCAGUCUCAAUAGCCUAAGACGUUAGAUGCAAUAAAGCUUUAAUAAGCAGGUUAAACCUAAUUCAAACUUUGGUUUCUGCUCAUCAUUUAAUUGACCAGUUUAUCUUAUUUCAAUUUAGGAGUUCAGCGAUAAACUCUUGUAUCGAAUAUAGAAAGAAGAAGUUUCAAUUUUAACCCUCAAUAUUGCAUUUUAAAUUGAUCAUACAGAGCUAUA